rnacentral:tRNA from 1 species
GCAGGUAUAGUAUAAUGGUUAUUAUGUCUGGCUUCCAACCAGAAUAUGAGGUUUCGAUUACCUCUACCUGCU